rnacentral:rRNA from 1 species
AGCAUAUCAAUAAGCGGAGGAAAAGAAACCAACAGGGAUUGCCCCAGUAACGGCGAGUGAAGCGGCAACAGCUCAAAUUUGAAAUCUGGCCCUAGGCCCGAGUUGUAAUUUGCAGAGGAUGUUUCUGGCGCGGCGCCUUCCGAGUUCCCUGGAACGGGACGCCAUAGAGGGUGAGAGCCCCGUACGGUUGUGUGCUAAGCCUCUGUGAAACUCCUUCGACGAGUCGAGUAGUUUGGGAAUGCUGCUCAAAAUGGGAGGUAUACGUCUUCUAAAGCUAAAUACCGGCCAGAGACCGAUAGCGCACAAGUAGAGUGAUCGAAAGAUGAAAAGCACUUUGAAAAGAGGGUUAAAUAGUACGUGAAAUUGUUGAAAGGGAAGCGCUCAUGACCAGACUUGGGCCCGGUUAAUCAUCCAGCGUUCUCGCUGGUGCACUUGGCCGGCUCAGGCCAGCAUCAGUUUGCCUCGGGGGAUAAAGGCUUCGGGAAUGUGGCUCCUUCGGGAGUGUUAUAGACCGUUGUGUAAUACCCUGGGGCGGACUGAGGUACGCGCAUUGCAAGGAUGCUGGCGUAAUGGUCAUCAGUGACCCG